rnacentral:rRNA from 1 species
UAGGGAAUCUUCGGCAAUGGACGGAAGUCUGACCGAGCAACGCCGCGUGAGUGAAGAAGGUUUUCGGAUCGUAAAGCUCUGUUGUUAGAGAAGAACGUUGGUAGGAGUGGAAAAUCUACCAAGUGACGGUAACUAACCAGAAAGGGACGGCUAACUACGUGCCAGCAUCCGCGGUAAUACGUAGGUCCCGAGCGUUGUCCGGAUUUAUUGGGCGUAAAGCGAGCGCAGGCGGUUCUUUAAGUCUGAAGUUAAAGGCAGUGGCUUAACCAUUGUACGCUUUAGAAACUGGAGGAAUUGAGGGCAGAAGGGAGGAGUGGAAUUACAUGUGAAGCGGUAAAAUGCGUAGAUAUAUGGAGGAACAACGGUGGCGAAAGCGGCUCUCUGGUCUGUAACUGACGCUGAGGCUCGAAAGGGUGGGGAGCAAACAGG